UACGGGGGGGGCAAGCGUUGUUCGGAAUUACUGGGCGUAAAGGGCUCGUAGGUGGCCAACUAAGUCAGACGUGAAAUCCCUCGGCUUAACCGGGGAACUGCGUCUGAUACUGGAUGGCUUGAGUUCGGGAGAGGGAUGCGGAAUUCCAGGUGUAGCGGUGAAAUGCGCAGAUAUCAGGAGGAACACCAAUGGCGAAGGCAGCUCGCUGGACCGGUACUGACGCUGAGGCGCGAAAGCGUGGGGAGCAAACAGG
rnacentral:rRNA from 1 species